GAUGAAGAACGCAGCGAAAUGCGAUACGUAAUGUGAAUUGCAGAAUUCAGUGAAUCAUCGAGUCUUUGAACGCACAUUGCGCCCCCUGGUAUUCCGGGGGGCAUGCCUGUCCGAGCGUCAUUGCUGCCCUCAAGCACGGCUUGUGUGUUGGGCCUCCGUCCUCCUCCCGGGGGACGGGCCCGAAAGGCAGCGGCGGCACCGCGUCCGGUCCUCGAGCGUAUGGGGCUUCGUCACCCGCUCUUGUAGGCCCGGCCGGCGCUUGCCGACACAUCAAUCUUUUUUCCAGGUUGACCUCGGAUCAGGUAGGGAUACCCGCUGAACUUAAGCAUAUCAAUAGCGGAGGA
rnacentral:misc_RNA from 1 species